GUUAUGUUCUGGUUGUGUUUUGGUUCUUUAUCAAAGCUUUUUUUCUGUAUUUUAUUCAAUUUAUCAUUGCCAUGCAUUUUUAUUUUUAUUCUAUUGUUACCAUAUAAUGGCCAACUCUAUGAAAUUGCAGCAGGCAACCCAUUUGAUGUUGUUCUUUAAAGAAACACUCCAAGUACCAUAACCACUACAAGGUGCUGUGGUGGAUGUUUAAGCCACGUUGCAGCAUACCUUUCAAAAGUUUUUUUUUCCAUAUAUUUUUCUUUUACUCCUGUCAACAGUAUUUUCAGUUUACUUCCAAAUUUCCUUUAAAACCUCAGUUUGAAUUUUAAUUGAGUUGUUCUAGUAUCAUAUUUACUGACAGCAUGCAUAAGAGUAGGUAUUAUGCAUACUCUGUAUUCAGCCACUGGAGCCAAAUAAUAAGGUGAGGUCUAUAGAUAGUGUAACAGGAACACAGUGGCCUGUCCUGCUACAUCAUCUGUCCCUUCUCCUCCUGCACCAAGGACCAUCACAGCAAUGAACAGGCAAAUAUCAUCUCCCUCGGCCCGCUCCUUCUGGACGAGUACUGUCCUUCUUCCAGGUAUGUAUCGAUCUCUUUGCCUCCUUUCUACACCAUCUGCUAGGGAGUAGUACAAUCAGAAAGCAGAUAUGCCACUGAUUCCAUGAAAG